UUCUGUGAUUUUGUGAGUGCAAGCAAAGCAGGGCUGACAGAGAGGCUGAAAAGAAGGGGCAGGAGGGAGGGGGAGAGCUAAAAUAUCGCCAGCCCUCUGCCGGGGAGACUAACAGCGCUUGCUGCUGCAUUGCCACGGCCCUGCAGGCACAGGUCUGCGUGUGCACGGAGGAGGAGGAGAAACGCAAGCUCUGGGACUCGUUGCGCAAGAAGUGCCAGAAGGCAAGGGCGAAAGUGGCAACCCCGAAGGCUUGGAAAGAAAAGCGAGAGCAAUGGGAGGUCCAGGGUCCUGCAUUCGUGGCAUUCCCAAGUGGUGGAGAGACACCAGGAGAGGAUGAGGAGAGCCCAGAGGACAAGCUGAGUCUUUGCCUUUCGGAGUACUCAUCUCUGCAAAGGGAGCGGAUGUGUUGCACAACGGUGAGUUCCAUGAAAGCCUCUAAGGCACAGAGGCUCCCAAGAUUGAUGUCGAGCAAAAGCCUCUUCCAGGAUCACAAGCAGCAGUGCCGGCCAGCGAGGAUGUUACCAGCACUGCUUCCAUCUGAUCAAGAAGGACCUAUACGCAAACCACUGUGUCUGACACUGUGGGUCUUGGUGGCUGUGAAAUAUGCACUCAGUGGUGGGUGAGCUUUGGUGGAGCAAGGAAAGGCCACUGCAGGACAGAGGAGUUUCAGUCCUAUUCC